CCUACGGGAUGCACCAGUGGGGAAUAUUGCACAAUGGGCGGAAGCCUGAUGCAGCAACGCCGCGUGAGGGAUGACGGCCUUCGGGUUGUAAACCUCUUUUAGCAGGGAAGAAGCGAGAGUGACGGUACCUGCAGAAAAAGCGCCGGCUAACUACGUGCCAGCAGCCGCGGUAAUACGUAGGGCGCAAGCGUUAUCCGGAAUUAUUGGGCGUAAAGAGCUCGUAGGCGGUUUGUCGCGUCUGCUGUGAAAUCCCGAGGCUCAACCUCGGGUCUGCAGUGGGUACGGGCAGACUAGAGUGCGGUAGGGGAGAUUGGAAUUCCUGGUGUAGCGGUGGAAUGCGCAGAUAUCAGGAGGAACACCGAUGGCGAAGGCAGAUCUCUGGGCCGUAACUGACGCUGAGGAGCGAAAGGGUGGGGAGCAAACAGGAUUAGAUACCCCAGUAGUC
rnacentral:rRNA from 1 species